rnacentral:rRNA from 1 species
GAUGAACGCUGGCGGCGUGCCUAAUACAUGCAAGUCGAGCGAACAGACGAGGAGCUUGCUCCUCUGACGUUAGCGGCGGACGGGUGAGUAACACGUGGAUAACCUACCUAUAAGACUGGGAUAACUUCGGGAAACCGGAGCUAAUACCGGAUAAUAUAUUGAACCGCAUGGUUCAAUAGUGAACGACGGUUUUGCUGUCACUUAUAGAUGGAUCCGCGCCGCAUUAGCUAGUUGGUAAGGUAACGGCUUACCAAGGCAACGAUGCGUAGCCGACCUGAGAGGGUGAUCAGCCACACUGGAACUGAGACACGGUCCAGACUCCUACGGGAGGCAGCAGUAGGGAAUCUUCCGCAAUGGGCGAAAGCUUGACGGAGCAACGCCGCGUGAGUGAUGAAGGUCUUCGGAUCGUAAAACUCUGUUAUUAGGGAAGAACAAAUGUGUAAGUAACUAUGCACGUCUUGACGGUACCUAAUCAGAAAGCCACGGCUAACUACGUG